CCAUGUAUCCUGUAUCCACAAAGAAAUCUUCUACUUCCUGAAAGCACUAAGAUAAGGAUAAUUAGGAUGGAAAAAGAAUGGUGGCCUCAGGACUCUAGGAAAAAAGAAUCAGUAACCAAGAAAAAAAUUACAGCAUGUAUUUUUGAAGUCUCCACACCAAGGCCUAGCUCUGCGAUGUGUUGCACACAGGACUUCUCCACUGACAGCCUAAGCUGAACCUUCUCACCUUUACAGUUCCUGCUCCUCUUGGAUUUCUAGUCUUGGUGAUAGCAUCACUUCUCACCCAGCGCCCAAUUUAAAUAUGGAGUCAUUCUGGACUCUCUCCUCUUUCCACACCCCCACCCACUUCUGACUAGUCCCCAGUCUCAUUCCUCUUAUGGUCUUCACCAUCACCUGCCUUAAUUCAGGCUUUGUUUUCUUGAGAAUAAGUCAAAGUAAUUACCUCUGUGGACACUUAGUUGACUGCUUGUCUAUAGAUGUUAGAUUCUUCUGGAUAUUUUACUAUAAAAAGCCAAAGAGCUGCAAAUGUCUACAUGUUAUUUGAUUGACUUUUCCUCCCUGGUGGUUUUACUGCUUCCUCUUAUUUAUGCUUUUAUCUACAUCCUGUACCUCAGCAAAAUGAACAGUUCACAGCUUGAAGACUUAUCUUGUAGAACUCUGCAUGGUGAGGAAGAAGCUGCAAGGAAGAAGAUAGUAGUAUGGACAGCAGUUGCCUGGCCCCAGCCAGAUGAUUAAGCAGCUGAUAUGGACUCUGAAAUAAAACAAUUAUUGGUUCUUAUCUCUGCUUUGAAGA